AUUGAACGCUGGCGGCAUGCCUUACACAUGCAAGUCGAACGGCAGCACGGGAGCAAUCCUGGUGGCGAGUGGCGAACGGGUGAGUAAUAUAUCGGAACGUGCCCAGUCGUGGGGGAUAACGUAGCGAAAGCUACGCUAAUACCGCAUACGAUCUAUGGAUGAAAGCGGGGGAUCGCAAGACCGCGCGCGCUUGGAGCGGCCGAUAUCAGAUUAGGUAGUUGGGGAGGUAAAGGCUCACCAAGCCGACGAUCUGUAGCUGGUCGGAGAGGACGACCAGCCACACUGGGACUGAGACACUGCCCAGACUCCUACGGGAGGCAGCAGUGGGGAAUUUUGGACAAUGGGCGCAAGCCUGAUCCAGCAAUGCCGCGUGCAGGAUGAAGGCCUUCGGGUUGUAAACUGCUUUUGUACGGAACGAAACGGCGAGCUCUAAUACAGUUUGCUAAUGACGGUACCGUAAGAAUAAGCACCGGCUAACUACGUGCCAGCAGCCGCAGUAA
rnacentral:rRNA from 1 species